UGGGGAAUCUUGCGCAAUGGGCGAAAGCCUGACGCAGCCAUGCCGCGUGAAUGAUGAAGGUCUUAGGAUUGUAAAAUUCUUUCACCGGGGAAGAUAAUGACGGUACCCGGAGAAGAAGCCCCGGCUAACUUCGUGCCAGCAGCCGCGGUAAUACGAAGGGGGCUAGCGUUGCUCGGAAUUACUGGGCGUAAAGGGCGCGUAGGCGGACAGUUAAGUCAGAGGUGAAAGCCCAGGGCUCAACCCUGGAAUUGCCUUUGAUACUGGCUGUCUUGAGUGCGGGAGAGGUGUGUGGAACUCCGAGUGUAGAGGUGAAAUUCGUAGAUAUUCGGAAGAACACCAGUGGCGAAGGCGACACACUGGCCCGUAACUGACGCUGAGGCGCGAAAGCGUGGGGAGCAAACAGG
rnacentral:rRNA from 1 species